GCAGUCAGUGGUUUGUGCGGUUUGGUCAUCGUGAAUAUAAUGUACCUUGGUUUAUCCAAAACCGAGAAAUUCUGUGUAAUAUUGCAUUCUGAUUUGUUGACAGUAAUAGAUAUUUAUAACAUUCUGAAAAGGUUCGAAAAAGAGCUGAGCCACCGUAAUAUCCCUACUAUACAGUUAUGUUUUGGCUGAUAUACCUCGUUGCCUUGUUGCAGACUUUGCAGGCAGAGACCGCUCUCAUCGACCCGACAGCGCUAUCUGUGACCGGAAUCCGUCCUGACGACCCGCCAUCGUCCAGCAACUGGAAACCAGAGGCGGACCAGAACCGCAGAGUGUUCCCUUUCCGAUACUUCCUGCUUACACCGCGGCGAAAAAAGUCGAGAAAAAACCUCACAUAGGCAUCCGGUUCAAAAGAUGGGCCAGAAAAAAUGAAAAUGCUCUGCACCUCAUGUGUUGCUGCUGCCUCGCACAUUGCGGUGACAAAGAUGAUUGACGUUGUUAAUGAUGACCACGAUUAUAUGGAGCGCGUUUAGCAGAGAUGAACCAAGCCACAUCAGCAACUGCCAAAUUUAACAGGGCAAUACAAGUUUUUACAAGAUAACGUUUGUGCGGAUUCCUUUGAAGAUGUUGAGGAAUUUGCUUCGUACAAAGUAGACCAUUCACUGGAAGCACUAAAUUCCGCAAACCCGUUUUCGUGUAAAAAAUACAUUUGCCCAAUUGAAUUUGGCAAUAGCUGAUGUGGCUUGGUCCCUUUCUGCUAAACGCGGUUCAUUUAAUAAUCGGUGCUACAAGGGUACACGAUAAACAGAAAGGAACCAAGCCACAUCAGCUAUUGCCAAAUUUAACCGGGCAAUUUAAUUUUUUCAAAGAGCACGUUUGUGCGGAUUCCUUUGAAAAUAAGGAAUUUGCUGCGAUGCAGAUAAUUCACUGAAAUUUGCACGAAAAUAUGCAAACCCGUUUACAUGUAAAAAACACAAUUGCCCAAUCAAAUUUGGCAAUAGUUGAUGUGGCUUGGUUCCUUUCAACUUAACGCGGUCCGAAAAUCUGAAGUUAUCUUGUGUUUUGCCGUGAUGACGAAGAGAGCCGUAAGUCACACAUUUCAACGGUGAAAUACCAAACCACGUAUCUCGUUUGCGGUUUUUCAAAAUCUCCAGUAUCAUCUUAUUUUUUUUAGAGAGAACGAAUCGAUAUCAUUCUUUGAUGUUUUUACAGAGUUUUCUUCAGACAGAGAAAAAAAUCACGGAAGUUUCGAAGAAUUGAAGUUGAUUGUUUUCCGUUUAAAAAUUAUAGUUUGGCAGAAAGUCUGCAACGUCGCAAACCGAGAUACGUGGUCUGGUAGUUUCACCGUCGAUUUUUGAUAUGAAAUUUUCUUCAAAAUUCAGAAAAAUUCGUCUAAUUUGUAUUAAAACGAGACGUGUGAAAAACCGCAAGUGUGCGAAAAAUGACGUGGUUUCAGACAAAACACUAACAAGGCCUAUUAUUCCUCCAGAGAGCCAAUGAAAACGGUGCUUUCAAACAAAAUUCCGCCCUUUCCUGCCAAUUUCUAACCUAAGAAUGUGUUUGUUGUGUGUCCAAAACGCAACCACGAAAGUAUGCCGAAGAUGGCACGUACGGCUGCCUUGUCCAAUACUAGCCUAACAUGAAAAUAAAUAAUACCCUUUUUAUAUAAUUGACGAAAAAUUGGUCGACUUUUAGUGCCACCUAAGUGCCGAUUGUUUAUGUAUAAGUAAUUUAGUUUUAAGCAUUUGUAGCUUUUUCCGUAUAGAACUGUGCUCACGAUAAGAGGUGCAUAUUCGUAAUUUUAUAGCUAUAAGUAUGACAAUAAACAAUACAAUUUUUC
rnacentral:lncRNA from 1 species